rfam:Triticum urartu cultivar G1812 contig1059603, whole genome shotgun sequence.
CUUGCACUCACUCCAUCCGAAAAUACUUGCCAUCAAAAUGGAUAAAAAGAGAUGUAUCUAGAACUAAAAUAUGCUUAGAUACAUCCCCUUUUAUCCAUUUUGAUGACAAGUAUUUCCGGACGGAGGGAGUAUCUU